rnacentral:rRNA from 1 species
UACGAAGGGAGCUAGCGUUGUUCGGAAUCACUGGGCGUAAAGGGCGCGUAGGCGGCAGAUCAAGUCAGCUGUGAAAUCUCCGAGCUUAACUCGGAACUGUCAGCUGAUACUGUUUUGCUAGAGUGCGGAAGGGGCAAUCGGAAUUCUUGGUGUAGCGGUGAAAUGCGUAGAUAUCAAGAGGAACACCUGAGGUGAAGACGGGUUGCUGGGCCGACACUGACGCUGAGUGCGCGAAAGCCAGGGGAGCAAACGGG